CCUACGGGUGGCAGCAGUGGGGAAUAUUGGGCAAUGGGCGCAAGCCUGACCCAGCAACGCCGCGUGAAGGAAGAAGGCUUUCGGGUUGUAAACUUCUUUUCUGAGGGACGAAGAAAGUGACGGUACCUCAGGAAUAAGACCCGGCUAACUACGUUCAAGCCGCCGCGGUAAUACGUAGGUGGCAAGCGUUAUCCGGAUUUAUCGGGUGUAAAGGGCGUGUAGGCGGGAAAGCAAGUCAGAUGUGAAAACUCAGGGCUCAACCCUGAGCCUGCAUUUGAAACUGUUUUUCUUGAGUGCUGGAGAGGCAAUCGGAAUUCCGGGUGUAGCGGUGAAAUGCGGAGAUAUACGGAGGAACACCAGUGGCGAAGGCGGAUUGCUGGACAGUAACUGACGCUGAGGCGCGAAAGCGUGGGGAGCAAACAGGAUUAGAUACCCGAGUAGUC
rnacentral:rRNA from 1 species